rnacentral:rRNA from 1 species
AUGGUCUGCACGAGGGAAGAUCAGUAAGUCCGUGCAUAGUUGCUCAAUAAUCUUUCCAAAGAGGCCUUGAUCCAAGUUACCUCGCAUGAGAGAUCACAUGCGGUCUAGACAGCUCUGAGCAGCAUGUUUGCCUCCACGUCAAGGUCCCGCUUCAACAAUCUUCGCAUCAGCCUGAUGAACACCUCGAAAGGCAACCAGUCCGCUGCUGCCUACUUUCGGCCACAUGAGGUCCCUUGCAGAUGA